rnacentral:rRNA from 1 species
AGAGUUUGAUCAUGGCUCAGAUUGAACGCUGGCGGCAUGCUUUACACAUGCAAGUCGAACGGGGUGCGGGGGCAACUUCGCAUUCAGUGGCGAACGGGUGAGUAAUGCAUCGGAACGUGUCCCGUAGUGGGGGAUAACCCGGCGAAAGCCGUGCUAAUACCGCAUACGCUCUACGGAGGAAAGCAGGGGACCCUGGAAGGGGCCUUGUGCUAGGGGGGCGGCCGAUGUCCGAUUAGCUUGUUGGUGGGGUAAUGGCCCACCAAGGCUGCGAUCGGUAGCUGGUCUGAGAGGAUGAUCAGCCACACUGGGACUGAGACACGGCCCAGACUCCUACGGGAGGCAGCAGUGGGGAAUUUUGGACAAUGGGGGCAACCCUGAUCCAGCCAUGCCGCGUGCGGGAAGAAGGCCUUCGGGUUGUAAACCGCUUUUAGCCGGGACGAAAGCUGUACGGAUAACACCCGUGCAGGUUGACGGUACCGGCGGAAUAAGCACCGGCUAACUACGUGCCAGCCGCCGCGGUAAUAC